AAUACCUUGAAUGUGCCCUGCAUUUGUAUCAGCUUCUGCUACACUGCUGCUCCGGAUUUGACAGCACUGAGGACACUGCUACAGGUUAUUGACAGUUCAGCACAUUAGCCCAUUAGCUUUUGUUAUUGAUUUGAGAGCAGUCAUGCGUGUAAUCCAUUAUGACGGUGCCUGCGCGAACAAUGAGAAGUUACACUUCACCGUUCACUGAUCUAAUUCUCCCGUGUUAACAAGUAGGUGCACAGGCUCUCUCUCCUCUGCUCCAGUGUUACUUGAUACCCGCUCUCCAAGGCUUUUCUUAUUGAUGAUAAGCUAAGCUGAUUUGACUGGCGAGGCUGCUGCUCGGUCUCUACACUUGUGCAACCAUCCCACCGCUGCCGUUUACGCGAAUAAAGGCACAGGAAGGGAUCAAAUUUCCCUUAAACUUUUUAUGUACUUAAGAGAGCCGCAUCCAAAAGGUUUAAGUUUCAGGACAAGGCAUCAAUUAUCCCAAAGCCACUGGUUCUAAACUACUGAGGUUCCGCUGCAAUGCGAUUUUAACUGCAGUAGGGGGAGAAAAAAAGCCUGCCAUGGGUGUGCACCUCCUCAUGUGGCUGCGGCCUUUGAUGGGGUUUGCAUUUUUUAACAUGUUUUUGAAGAAGAACGUUGCGGAGAGGCAAAGCAGAAGAAGAUGAGGAAGAAGAAG